UGGGGAUAAACCCGGGAAACUGGGUAUAAUACCCGAUAGAUCUCUAUUGCUGGAAUGCAUUGAGGUCUAAAGCUCCGGCGCCUAAGGAUGGGUCUGCGGCCUAUCAGGUAGUAGUGGGUGUAGCGUACCUACUAGCCUACGACGGGUACGGGUUGUGAGAGCAAGAGCCCGGAGAUGGAUUCUGAGACACGAAUCCAGGCCCUACGGGGUGCAGCAGGCGCGAAAACUUUACAAUGCUGGAAACAGCGAUAAGGGGACCUCGAGUGCCAGGUUACAAAUCUGGCUGUCGUGAUGCCUAAAAAGCAUUGCAUAGCAAGGGCCGGGCAAGACCGGUGCCAGCCGCCGCGGUAACACCGGCGGCUCGAGUGGUAACCGUUAUUAUUGGGUCUAAAGGGUCUGUAGCCGGCCGGAUAAGUCUCUUGGGAAAUCUGGCAGCUUAACUGUCAGGCUUUCAGGAGAUACUGUCUGGCUCGAGGCCGGGAGAGGUGAGAGGUACUUCAGGGGUAGGGGUGAAAUCUUGUAAUCCUUGAAGGACCACCAGUGGCGAAGGCGUCUCACCAGAACGGACCUGACGGCAAGGGACGAAAGCUAGGGGCACGAACCGGAUUAGAUACCCGGGUAGUCCUAGCCGUAAACGAUACUCGCUAGGUGUCGGCCACGGUGCGACCGUUGUCGGUGCCGUAGGGAAGCCGUGAAGCGAGCCACCUGGGAAGUACGGCCGCAAGGCUGAAACUUAA
rnacentral:rRNA from 1 species